rnacentral:rRNA from 1 species
AUUGAACGCUGGCGGCAGGCCUAACACAUGCAAGUCGUGCGAGCGGCGGCCGGGUGAGUAAUGUAUGGGGAUCUGCCUGAUGGAGGGGGAUAACUACUGGAAACGGUAGCUAAUACCGCAUACCAUCAGAUGAACCCAUAUGGGCUUCGCUUGUAGGUUAGGUAACGGCUCACCUAGGCGACGAUCCCUAGCUGGUCUGAGAGGAUGAUCAGCCAGACUGGGACUGCAAUACGGCCAAGACUGCUACGGGAGGCAGCAGUGGGGAAUAUUGAACAAUGGGAGCGAGUCUGAUGCAGCCAUGCCGCGUGUAUGAAGAGGGCCUUCGGGUUGUAAAGUGCUUUCAGGGGGGAGGCGUUACGGACAGAAGAAGGACCGGAUAACUCCGUGCCAGCCGCCGCGGUAAUUC